rnacentral:tRNA from 1 species
GAAGCGAAAACAAUGUGGUCAUUGAUACAGUUUGCAGGUCUGUUAAGUUAGGUUCAAUUCCUAUUCGCCUCU